AUAUUGCACAAUGGGCGAAAGCCUGAUGCAGCGACGCCGCGUGAGGGAUGACGGCCUUCGGGUUGUAAACCUCUUUCAGCAGGGACGAAGCGCAAGUGACGGUACCUGCAGAAGAAGCACCGGCUAACUACGUGCCAGCAGCCGCGGUAAUACGUAGGGUGCAAGCAUUGUCCGGAUUCAUUGGGCGUAAAGAGCUCGUAGGCGGUCUGCCACGUCGGAUGUGAAAACUCGGGGCUUAACCCCGAGCCUGCAUCCGAUACGGGUAGACUGGAGUGUUGCAGGGGAGACUGGAACUCCUGGUGUAGCGGUGAAAUGCGCAGAUAUCAGGAAGAACACCGGUGGCGAAGGCGGGUCUCUGGGCAACUACUGACGCUGAGGAGCGAAAGCGUGGGGAGCAAACAGG
rnacentral:rRNA from 1 species